GUUGUUUUUUUCCACGGCUGAUUUGUUACGACCGAAGAGUCUUGGAUAGUCUAAGGAUGUCUAUAAUAGAUUACCAUGGAGCCCACCGGCAACUUGUAAGCAUAACAUUAUUCAACAGACGUAUUGCAAAAGCCAUGACAGCUGAUGAGUUUUUCUAGGAAAUGUUCGCUGACUCAGUUUUCCUGUGCAAGUCGAUGAAAUGCGCGGAUUACAGAAGCUGUCAACAUAAUUUUCUAAGAAACUGUUGUUACGUUCGGCUGUGGGGAAUAAACGCAUGCAGUGUAUGGUAUUGAACCAGGGACUGUACAUGCCAGUCUCUGAAUUAGCACACUGCGUAUUUACAGGGCUUGUUUUUGUAAGAUUUGAUAUCAUGAUAUUUAAAUUUACAUCUGAAUUCUUUGCUGUAUACAUCCACACCGGUUUAUUUUUCAGUCCAUUGACGUCAUUUCCAAAUGUUUAUUGUUCGCAAUAUAACAGUAGAAACUGAC
rnacentral:sRNA from 1 species